CACCUUGUAUAAUUGCAUCAUGCGUCGACAGAACUCUUUUGCUUUGUUCUUUGCUAAUUGCAAUCGUCAGACGGAGUUUUAAUAAGUGAUUAUUAAUCUGGAGUUUUAAUAAGUGAUUAUUAAUCUGUGAUUAUUAUUAUUAUCAGCGGCGGUGAAGAUGAAAAUACCCAAAGAGCCAGCAGACAAAGUGAUUCGGAAGGCUAUUCACAACAUUAAGAAUAGUCAUUUUCAGAAGACCUCAA